ensembl:lncRNA
GCUUUGUGCUGAGCUCCAUCAGAGAGCUCUACAGAGCUCAUGACAGUCACGCUGUACCCAGUUUACUGAGGUCACUUGGUCAUGUGAUCAACCUGAGCAGCAGAGAGCUGGACUCAGUGGACUGUGCUGCUCUGAUCUUCAUCCUCAAACAUGGAGACGGAGUCAAACUGAACCUCCUGUGGACCUCCAUACCAGCAGAGGGAGUAGAGUCCAUCCUCUUCAUGCUGGACAAAGUUUCUCAUCUCAGUGUUGACAGGAAUCAGCUGCU